rnacentral:rRNA from 1 species
GCUAAACGCGAAGAACCUUACCAAGGCUUGACAUCCCUCUGACCGAUUUAGAGAUAGAUCUUUCCCUUCGGGGACAGAGGUGACAGGUGGUGCAUGGUUGUCGUCAGCUCGUGUCGUGAGAUGUUGGGUUAAGUCCCGCAACGAGCGCAACCCUUGACCUUAGUUGCCAGCAUUCAGUUGGGCACUCUAGAGAGACUGCCGCGAAUAACGCGGAGGAAGGUGGGGAUGACGUCAAGUCAUCAUGGCCCUUACGUCCUGGGCUACACACGUGCUACAAUGGGCGCUACAAAGGGCUGCAAGACCGCGAGGUGGAGCCAAUCCCUAAAAUCGCCCUCAGUUCAGAUUGCAGUCUGCAACCCGACUGCAUGAAGGUGGAAUCGCUAGUAAUCGCGGAUCAGAACGCCGCGGUGAAUACGUUCCCGGGUCUUGUACACACCG